rnacentral:rRNA from 1 species
AACGGAGGGGACAAGCGUUAUCCGGAUUUACUGGGCGUAAAGCGCAUGUAGGUGGCUUGGAAAGUUGGAUGUGAAAGCUCCUGGCUUAACUGGGAGAGGUCAUUCAAAACUGGCAAGCUAGAGGUUGGAAGAGGAGAGCGGAAUUCCCGGUGUAGUGGUGGAAUGCGUAGAUAUCGGGAGGAACACCAGUGGCGAAAGCGGCUCUCUGGUCCAAUACUGACAAUGAGAUGCGAAAGCGUGGGGAGCGAACGGG